rnacentral:rRNA from 1 species
CCUACGGGAGGCAGCAGUGAGGAAUAUUGGUCAAUGGACGAGAGUCUGAACCAGCCAAGUAGCGUGAAGGAUGACUGCCCUAUGGGUUGUAAACCUCUUUAGGCGGGGAGCAAUGCCGGGCACGCGUGCCCGGCGGGAGAGUACCCGCAGAAUAAGCAUCGGCUAACUCCGUGCCAGCAGCCGCGGUAAUACGGAGGAUGCGAGCGUUAUCCGGAUUUAUGGGGUUUAAAGGGUGCGUAGGCGGAUUUUUAAGUCAGCGGUAAAAUGUCCGGGCUCAACCCGGGCCGGCCGUUGAAACUGGGGAGCUGGAGUGGGCGAGAGGUAUGCGGAAUGCGUGGUGUAGCGGUGAAAUGCAUAGAUAUCACGCAGAACUCCGAUUGCGAAGGCAGCAUACCGGAGCCCGACUGACGCUGAGGCACGAAAGCGUGGGGAUCGAACAGGAUUAGAUACCCGGGUAGUC